GAUGAACGCUAGCGACAGGCUUAACACAUGCAAGUCGCGGGGCAGCAUGGGGGUUGCUUGCAAUCCCCGAUGGCGACCGGCGCACGGGUGAGUAACGCGUAUCCAACCUGCCCUUCACCACGGGAUAACCCGGCGAAAGGCGGACUAAAAACGGAUGUUGUCAAUUGACGGCAUCCGAAUCGGAGGAAAGGGUGGGCGGGGAAGGGAGGGGAUGGGUGCGAUUAGGUGGGCGGGGGGGUGACGGGGCACCGUGGGGAGGAGGGGUAGGGGUUCGGAGGGGAAGGUCCCCCACACUGGAGCUGAGACACGGUCCAGACUCCUGCGGGAGGCAGCAGUGAGGAAUAUUAGUCAAUGGGCGUAAGCCUGAACCAGCCAAGUAGCGUGCAGGAUGACCGCCCUAUGGGUUGUAAACUGCUUUUAUGCGGGGAUAAAGUGGCCCACGUGUGGGUUUUUGCAGGUACCGCAUGAAUAAGGACCGGCUAAUUCCGUG
rnacentral:rRNA from 1 species